GCACGAAGUUGGCCGGAGUUUCUUCUUUAACUACAGUCAUUGUCCUCGUUAACGAAAUAGUUUUACAGCCAAUUUAGGCCUAAACCUAAAUCUUUAAUGCCUUCUUCACUCACGCAAUAUUACUGGAUCCAGCUUUCGCUUAUUGUCCAAAAUUCCUCA
rnacentral:rRNA from 1 species